UCAAAAGUUUGGAAAACUGUA
rnacentral:piRNA from 1 species